rnacentral:rRNA from 1 species
AACAAACGCUGGCGGCGUGCCUAACACAUGCAAGUCGUACGAGAAAGGGUCCUUCGGGGCCUGAGUAAGGUGGCGCACGGGUGAGUAACGCGUGGAUAAUCUGCCCUUCAGUUGGGAAUAACUCAUCGAAAGGUGGGCUAAUACCGAAUAAUGCUGUGAGACCUCGGUUGAUCAGCCAAAGAGAGCCUCUGCUUGCAAGCCCUCGCUGAAGGAUGAGUCCGCGUACCAUUAGCUAGUUGGUAGGGUAAUGGCCUACCAAGGCGACGAUGGUUAGCUGGUCUGAGAGGAUGAUCAGCCACACUGGAACUGAGACACGGUCCAGACUCCUACGGGAGGCAGCAGUGAGGAAUCUUGCGCAAUGGGGGCAACCCUGACGCAGCAACGCCGCGUGAGUGAGGAAGGUCUUCGGAUCGUAAAGCUCUGUCGGAUGGAAAGAACCGCAUAGGGGUAAACAGCCCCUGUGUCUGACGGUACCAUCAAAGGAAGCACCGGCUAACUCCGUGCCAGCAGCCGCCGUAACAC